UGGCAGUGAUUUGAAUCUUACCCGCUCUUCUGAUUAGUUCAUGAAGGACAAGGGAAAACAUGGUUGAAUUUCUUAAUAUGAGCCA
rnacentral:snoRNA from 2 species